UAGUUUCUUCGGGGCUGGGUGAAACUCCCGACCGGCGGUGAUGAAGCUUUAGCUUCUUAGUCCGUGACCCGACUCUGUAUUUUGGAGGCGGUGGACCUGGUGUAAUUCCGGGACCGACAGUGAAAGUCUGGAUGGGAGAAGGAACGA
rnacentral:ncRNA from 2 species